UCGGUGAGACUUUUAUUUCUUCUCCAGUAGAAGAAGUCUGUUUUUGGAGUCUUUUAUAUUACUUUUUUUUUUCGUUUUUUAAUCCGACACUGUCGUCCGCUCGCUCGCUGCCGCCGUCGGCCUCGCUCCCUCGGGCGCCGUGGCACUGACCGGCGGCUGCUUAGGUGGAGGAAGGUUAGAGGCUAAGGGGUGUGGGCAGCGGCGUGAGAGGAGUAAAAGAGGGCUAGGUUUCUCGCGGCCGCUGGGACGAGAAGAAGGAGGAGGCCUGGUUCACACAGUGGCCAGGGCGAGGAGAAGGAGGAGGACCGUGCGCGCGGAGGAAGGAGGAGGACCGUGCGCGCGGCGGUAGGGGCGCGGAGGAAGGAGGAGGACCGUGCACGCGGCGGCAGGGGCGUGGAGGAAGGAGGAGGACCGUAGGCACGGCGGCGGGGGCGUGGAGGAAGGACGAGGAUCGUGCGCGCGGCGGAGGCGUCGAGGAACGAGGAGGACGGUACGCGCGGCGGCGGGGCUGGAAGGGACGGCGUGAGAGGAGGGUCCGAGGACGGCGGCGGGGCGGGUGUAGACGUGGUCGAGACCGGUGGCGGUGCAGAGGGGACCGCGCGGCCGGUGGUUGGCGGGGGCAGGAGGGGACCGCGGCCGACGUCAGGUGGGGGGCAGGAGGGGAUCGCGACCGGCGGUGGGCGGGGUAGGUGUGUACCGCGGUCGGCGGCCGGCGGGGUAGAAGGGGACCGCAACCGGUGGCGGUCUAAAAAAGAUACAACGAUGUAGUGAGCCCGCCGUUCCUCCGCUGUCACUGCUGAGGAUGUAUAAAAAAAGACACAACGAUGUAGCGGCCAGGUUUAACACCUCUUCUACGUCAGGACCCACACACCGUCCAACACACACACGUACGAUUAACCGCCGACACACACACGUCCCAUGUAGUUCAGCCGUCGGUCACAUGAUCCCUCAUCACUCUACCUCCGUACUUUGUCACCUCGUCCAUACACGCAGCUCGACGGUGACGUGAACACGCAGACCAUGGAGUUUACUUGAACCGAUUAAGAUUAACAACGAUGAUUUGACCAUACGCACACAAGGAAAACCAUCGUACAAUUAAGAACAAUCUUACAUGUGACUAAUAGCAAAUUCGUUACCUUCAAAAUCCUUCUUAAACUACGAACGACUCGAUGACCUUACCCUCAGUAAAGACAUAUACAAAGAUUUGAUGUUUGUUUUAGUGUACCACCUAAUCACCACGAUUAGACAGAGUCAAGUUGAUCAAUUUAUUAGAGUAAUAUGGAUCUACACGAUUAGUCAAACUGACAGAGUCAAGUUGGUCAAUUUAACAGAUCCAAGUUUAUAUAAAUGACACGGUUCUGGUUUAUAAUCAAUUAGGAAGAAGGUGAAGGAGGUGUUCUUUAACUCGAGAUUUUCUAAGACACAAAGGUGAACGUAUUGUUGAGUACCUUGUUGAAGAUGUCUGGAUCGAUCACACUCGUAGUUUUAUGUUUCGUAUCAUGUAGUCCUUUUUCGGUAGCGGCGGAGGGGCGUCGCGGCGGAGGAAAGUCGCGCGGCCGGGGCGGAGGGGUGUGUACCGAACGCAUCUCAGCCGCCACGGCGACUUCUACUACCUCGUCAAGAUGAAGAGGCACUACUGGUCCUGCUGUAGUGAUAGACACGAGCCGGUAUCCACACAAGCGAGUAGAAAGAGAGAGUGAGACACACUCCUCGACGACGACGACCGGGGAUCACCUACAUGAGAUUUUUCUUUCUAUCACAACGUCGAAUUUCUAUCACAUAGGCAAAAGAUGUCCUUCAUACACACGAACGUUUAAACCGGCACUUAGCAAAAGAUAUCCUUUAAUGUACUUCAUACUACCCAAUCGACAGUAAGGAGCCAAACUUGUCAACUUUUUUAAUUAACAACUUAAAACUUAACUUGGUAACUUUUUAACCGGUACUUGGACACUGAAAAACUAACUUGACUACUUGACUACUUAGUACGGUAAAUCAGCGUGACUUUGAUUAGAACACAGUUGAAAACUGAACCGUCGUACCCCAAUCCGGCCUUAGGUGGGGUACUGCCCAGUUGCAGUCCCAGGUGACCCAAGGCAAGGACUCUCUUCGUAGUGGCCGACCCUCUCAAGUUACUAGACUUGAUCCUUUCAAGUCGUACCUUUAAACGAUGUCUAAUGUAAUGAACUAUAAAAAAAGCACACAAAAAGCACACUAAGUGCAGUAGCAACCGGGGUACAAGCGACCGUACUGGUGGCGCGAAGAGGCGGCUGUGGCCGUCCUUUUAACCCGACCCUCAGCUGUUCGGCCCGUUUUACACAACGAUGAAGAUGUUAUAGUUUCUACUACUCUAAGACCAGAACGAGCAGCUCGUGGGUCAGUGUCCCGUCAGACAGUCGACGACGUUACGUAAUGCUUUUCAAGUUCAAAGGAUAAUCUAAAUCAAGAUAACCCUUUCCCGGCGGGAGUGGCGCGAAUAGGGGCAGCGGCCUCCCGGCCGCACGUCGCCAACCCGGUGUCGGCUGUGAAGGCCAGCACGGGAUGGUGACGAGUUAGAAGAGCGGAUUGGGGGAAGGAGGGCUAGACGAUGACUACAUGGGGUUGAUGGUGACCUCGAAGCCGCUCGUGAGGAGGCAGGUUCAACUCGUAACCCGCGGCAGGCUCAUCUCGUGACGUGGGGCAGGUUCAGGGGUAGAUUACAACUUGCAAGUUAAAACAGUACAACUUAUUAUAUCGCGACUCGUGGCAUGUUAAAAAAAAACGAACUCGCGACUCGUUUGUCACCUCGAACGACCUCCUCAGUGCCCCAGCUCCUGGAGGACGAGUUGUCAUGUUGAAGAACAAAACACCGGCCAACGAGUUCCUCGACUCACGUCCGACGUCAUUCAUGUACUAUGAUGAUAAUCCUAUACAUACACCAGGGUCAUUCAUGUACUCAUAAUUAAUCGUUCAAACCAACGAAGACUUUUGACUUUUUACAGUCGAACAUGACUACGUAAGGUUUUUACACAACACACAAAAGUUCUUUUUUGUAAACAGUCCAAAAACCACCGGUUCAUAAUAACUAUACCUCUACUUAUUGAUACGCCUACGCGAGGAUAACAAAAAGACCUUUUUUUUUUCUACGGUAGAAAUGUGUAGGUAUAAAUUAAAACCUUCCAAGUGUGUAUAAUCUCUCUAAGUAGCCUGUAUUAAAACAUUCUAGUCUUUUUCGUUAACGAGUCAUGUAGUGUCGUCGAGAAGCUACGUUUUUCCUACCGAGAAGAGUUCAGUCGUCGAUUGGUUUGACCGUUGAAGUCCCAUCGAGUCAGUUUAUGCCGUCGACACAUCAUUUGUCAAAGUCAACUCUUUAGUCGUUAUUAGUCGUUCGCUGUACGAGUUAGGUUGGGGCACGAAAGUCCCACCGGCUCAAGUAGCGCUGGUAGUCAAGCCUCUGGACGCAGUGACGCGCACAGCGAUGGUACCGGGGGACACAAUGACGCACGAGACAGUUGUCGGAGGACGUGUUCCUUUUCGUUGUCCUCAUCUCCGCAGACUCUACGAGACAAGAUCGCUCCACCGACUAAUACAAACAGUCAAACAUUAUGAAACCGGCGUCACAUGAAUACAUACAAAAAGACCGGCCUCGUGCUGGUCUCGAAUACAGUCAUACUUGAAACUAACACUACCAUGAUGUUUGAGAUAUUUUCGUGGUUGUUAGGAAAAAUGACCAUGAAUGGAAAAUAUGUUAAGUGUACCUAACGCGGGGAUAAUGGUUGACACCAUGUUUUUACGUGACACGAGUAGUAAAAUAAAAUCAAGUAGUCAAACAUUAUGAAAUUUUUCUCCUCCAUUUUCACUUGGUAAGUCAAAACAUAAUAUU
rnacentral:rRNA from 1 species